ensembl:lncRNA
ACGGGGUUUCACUAUGUUGGCCAGGCUGGUCUCAAACUCCUGAACUCGUGAUCUGCCUAUCUUGGCCUUCCAAAGUUCUGGGAUUACAGGCAUGAGCCACUGUACCCAGCCUACAGGCCUUCUUUGAAAGAGAAAAAGAAGAGGUGGCAUUCUGUGAGGGAACCUCAAAGACCAGACAUCCAGCCUCCUCUGCAGCCCAGGACCCCUUAUCGGUGCUUCUCUUCAGAUUGAGGACCUAUUCUUUGGAGAUCCGAAUUCCUAGUAGUCCAGCCCUCAGAUCUCCACCUUGAGACUCCACCCUCAAGAUUCUCAUUUCCUGCCUUUCCCUUCUAAGGCUUAAUCCCAUCGGGACUAAGGGAGGAGCCCUCCCUUCCAGCCUCACACAGGCCAACUAUCUCAAAAGGAAGAGAAAAUCAUUUUCCCUUGCAUGCUCGCUGUUUCACUUCCUUCUACUUUUAGGAAAUGAGAAACUCUCUGUGCCUAAGAAACCUCUUCACCGAAGAUCUUCACAUCCCAAACCUUCGUCCAUGCCCUCAAGGAUACCAUGGAGUCCAAGAUGGGUCAAGUGAGACUGAAAUGGAUUUUAGAGACCAGUGUUCUCUCUCAGGCAUGGAGCUGAUGAGGAGACACAGUGUCCCUAAAGGCAGGCACUUCACCAUCCUCAGGGUGGGGAGGACCAGGGUUCUCCGUUUUCCUCGCUUGCCCCCAGGGCUGCUCCUCCCAGCUCUGCUCCAGCCCCUGACACUCCUCCCUUCUGCUAAGUUCUCCCAGACCUGAAACGAGGCUAUCGCUGGGGCUGAAUGUUUAAAGGAGUGCACCUGCUCUAUGUGACAGCCAGACUGUGGGUGUGUGCUUGUAUAUUGCUGUGACGACAGGUUUCCUUUUUCAUGAAGACACUCUUUCAUUUAUACUCCCAGUUGUCAAAUCCCUAGCAUGAAAUCCAGAGACCUCACAUCUGUCCCAUUUUCUUCCCCACUCCUUCCCUACUCCCUGAGGCCUCUGGGCUGAUGGAAGAAUGGAGUCAGGAGACAUGGGGGAAGGCAGGUGCUGGUCUUUACAGAUGCGUGUUGCAUGGCGGGAAAACAGCCUGUGUGUGAGCCUAGAACAUGAACUGGAGGAAAGUGAUCCUGUUUUCAUGUUGUGAGGUAGGAAAGAGCUUGCUUUUGGGGCCACCCUAGACAUGACCACUUUUCCUGGCCACUCAUGUCUGCUCUGGGCUUUAGGUGUGAGUUGCCACCUUUCUUGUGGGGAAAAGAAGAAAGAUCAGCCUGUUACUGUGUCUAUAUAGAAAGAAGUAGACAUAAGAGACUCAAUUUUGUUCUGUGUUUGAGAUGCUGUUAAUCUGUGACUCUACCCCCAACCUUGUCCUUGCAAGAGACUUGUGCUGUGGUGACUCAAGGUUUAAAGGAUUUUGGGCUGUGCAGGGUGUGCUUUGUUAAACAAGUGCCUGAAGGCAGCUUGCUGGUUAAAAGUCAUCACCAUUCCCUUAAUCUCAAGUACCCAGGGACAAGUACACUGCCAAAGGUCACAGGGACCUCUGCCUAGGAAAGCUAGGUGUUGUCCAAGGUUUCUCCCCAUGUGAUGGUCUGAAAUAUGGCCUCGUGGGAAGGGAAAGACCUGAUCGUCCCCCAGCCUGACACCCGUGAAGGGUCUGUGCUGAGGAGGACCAGUACAAGAGGAAAGAAGGCCUCUUGGCAGUUGAGAUAGAGAAAAGCAUCUGUCUCCUGCCCGUCCCUGGGCAAUGGAACAUCUCGGUGUAAAACCCAAUUGUAUGUUCUGUUUACUGAGAAAGGAGAAAACCGCCUUAGGGCGAAAGGCGGGACUUGCUAGCGCAAUGCUGCUCUUUAUGCACUAAAAAUGUUUAUGGAGAUGUUUGCAUAUGCAUAUCAAGGCACAGCACUUUUCCUUAAACUUAUGCCACAGAGAUCUUUAUUCAUAUGUCUUACUGCUGACCUUCUCCCUACCAUGAUCCUAUUAUCCUGCCACUUCCCUUUUUCUAAGAUGGUAAAGAUAACGAUCAAUAAAUCCUGAGGGGCCGGGCGCAGUGGCUCAAGCCUGUAAUCCCAGCACUUUGGGAGGCCCAGACGGGUGGAUCACGAGGUCAGGAGAUCGAGACCAUCCUGGCUAACACGGUGAAACCCCGUCUCUACUAAGAAAUACAAAAAACUAGCCGGGCGAGGUGGCGGGCACCUGUAGUCCCAGCUACUCGGGAGGCUGAGGCCGGAGAAUGGCGUGAACCCGGGAGGCAGAGCUUGCAGUGAGCUGAGAUCCGGCCACUGCACUCCAGCCUGGGCUACAGAGUGAGACUCCGUCUCAAAAAAAAAAAAAUAAAAUAAAAAAAUAAAUCCUGAGGGAACUCAGAGACCG